AAACCAACCGGGAUUGCCUUAGUAACGGCGAGUGAAGCGGCAAAAAGCUCAAAUUUGAAAUCUGGUACCUUCGGUGCCCGAGUUGUAAUUUGGAGAGGGCAACUUUGGGGCCGUUCCUUGUCUAUGUUCCUUGGAACAGGACGUCAUAGAGGGUGAGAAUCCCGUGUGGCGAGGAGUGCGGUUCUUUGUAAAGUGCCUUCGAAGAGUCGAGUUGUUUGGGAAUGCAGCUCUAAGUGGGUGGUAAAUUCCAUCUAAAGCUAAAUAUUGGCGAGAGACCGAUAGCGAACAAGUACAGUGAUGGAAAGAUGAAAAGAACUUUGAAAAGAGAGUGAAAAAGUACGUGAAAUUGUUGAAAGGGAAGGGCAUUUGAUCAGACAUGGUGUUUUGUGCCCUCUGCUCCUUGUGGGUAGGGGAAUCUCGCAUUUCACUGGGCCAGCAUCAGUUUUGUGGCAGGAUAAAUCCAUAGGAAUGUAGCUUGCCUCGGUAAGUAUUAUAGCCUGUGGGAAUACUGCC
rnacentral:rRNA from 1 species